AGGACGAACGCUGGCGGCACGCUUAACACAUGCAAGUCGAACGGAGUUAAAUGGAGCUUGCUUUGAUUAACUUAGUGGCGGACGGGUGAGUAACACGUGAGCAACCUGCCUUGAGAGUGGAAUAGCUUCUGGAAACGGAUGGUAAUACCGCAUGAAAUUAUCUGACCGCAUGAUCGGAUAAUCAAAGAUUUAUCGCUCAAAGAUGGGCUCGCGUCUGAUUAGAUAGUUGGUGGGGUAACGGCCUACCAAGUCGACGAUCAGUAGCCGGACUGAGAGGUUGAACGGCCACAUUGGGACUGAGACACGGCCCAGACUCCUACGGGAGGCAGCAGUGGGGAAUAUUGCACAAUGGGCGGAAGCCUGAUGCAAGCGAUGCCGCGUGGAGGAAGAAGGUUUUCGGAUUGUAAACUCCUGAUCUGAGGGACGAUAAUGACGGUACCUCAGGAGAAAGCUCCGGCUAACUACGUGCCAGCCGCUGC
rnacentral:rRNA from 1 species